CCUACGGGAGGCAGCAGUGGGGAAUAUUGGGCAAUGGAGGCAACUCUGACCCAGCAACGCCGCGUGAAUGAUGAAGGUCUUCGGAUUGUAAAGUUCUUUUCUAAGGGAAGAAGAAAGUGACGGUAACUUAGGAAUAAGCCUCGGCUAACUACGUGCAAGCAGCCGCGGUAAGACGUAGGAGGCAAGCGUUAUCCGGAAGGAAUGGGCGUAAGGGGUGCGUAGGUGGUUUGAGAAGUUAGUAGCGAAACUCCGGGGCUCAACUUCGGAACUACUACUAAAACUGUUGGACUUGAGUGCAGGAGAGGCAAGCGGAAUUCCUGGUGUAGCGGUGGAAUGCGUAGAUAUUAGGAGGAACACCAGUGGCGAAGGCGGAUUGCUAGACUGUAACUGACGCUGAGGCACGAAAGCGUGGGGAGCAAACAGGAUUAGAUACCCGGGUAGUC
rnacentral:rRNA from 1 species